UACGUAGGGGGCGAGCGUUGUCCGGAUUUAUUGGGCGUAAAGAGCUCGUAGGCGGCUUAGCAAGUCGGGUGUGAAACUCCAGGCUCAACCUGGAGACGCCACUCGAGACUGCUAUGGCUAGAGUCCGGUAGGGGACCACGGAAUUCCUGGUGUAGCGGUAGAAAUGCGCAGAUAUCAGGAGGAACACCGGUGGCGAAGGCGGUGGUCUGGGCCGGCACUGACGCUGAGGAGCGAAAGCGUGGGGAGCAAACAGG
rnacentral:rRNA from 1 species